rnacentral:tRNA from 1 species
UUAAUGAAAUGAAGGAGGUUUUAAAUUGAUUUGCAAUCAAUUAAUAUGGUAACAUACGAAAAG